GAUGUAGCGCAGUGAUAGUGCGACUGCCUGUGAUGCAGAUGUUUCCGGGUUCGAGUCCCGGUGGGUCA